AUCUCAAUUCUAAUGCAAUUCCUGUUCAGUUCCAUGCAAUUUCUGCAUAGAAACACAACUGAAAGAAAAAUGACAACCAAUCGACCAGUAAAACUGCAAUAAAUACUUUUUAGGUGAGAAAACGUCAAAAGAGUGUGGAUUUGGAGGUCCUUCCAUUGUGCUAAUUAUAGAUCUUUAUUAUCUCUCUGAAUACUUGUCAAUAGUCAUUAAGUUUAUACAAUUUUCUCUUUUUAAUGCAUCAAAAAAUCACCAAAUAGGAAGAAGUAAAUCUGUAUAACGGGACAUCUAACCAUUGGUUUUAAAAUACAUAACCUACAGUCUAAAAUAAAGAAGAAAUAUAUACAUGUGAAGCUUUUUUUUUUGACUGACUAUAUUAUAAAAUAUGCUAAAAUUGUACUGCAAAUGAACUCUCCUCACCUCCCAAAUAAUAACAAAACAUACAGUGACAACAAAAUUGUACAAGUUUAUAUUAAGGCUCUCAAAUUUAAACUAAGCAUAAAAACUGAGCAAUUUAUCUUGGGAUUCUAAAAAAAAAAUGAAUCUAACAAAAUCCAAAUUGAUGAUACCCGACAUGUUGUCAUCAUAUAACAGUCAAAGUUUAUUCUCUGAAGAAAUAUCAAGUUUUAAAAAUAAAUGGGAACAAUACCAAGCAUCAUCUAAAGGCCAGUUUCUAGUUUUCUCAGCACCAUGGGUAACUUUUGUAAGAAAUGAGAUAAUCCUGUAAUCCCAGCUACUCGGGGGGCUGAGGCAGGAGAAUGGCGUGAACCCGGAA
rnacentral:lncRNA from 1 species